CUGGCGGCGUGCUUAACACAUGCAAGUCGAACGGUAAGGCCCUUCGGGGUACACGAGUGGCGAACGGGUGAGUAACACGUGGGUGAUCUGCCCUGCACUUCGGGAUAAGCCUGGGAAACUGGGUCUAACACCGGAUAGGACCAUGGACUUCACGGUUUGUGGUGGAAAGCUUUUGCGGUGUGGGAUGGGCCCGCGGCCUAUCAGCUUGUUGGUGGGGUAAUGGCCUACCAAGGCGACGACGGGUAGCCGGCCUGAGAGGGUGUCCGGCCACACUGGGACUGAGAUACGGCCCAGACUCCUACGGGAGGCAGCAGUGGGGAAUAUUGCACAAUGGGCGCAAGCCUGAUGCAGCGACGCCGCGUGAGGGAUGACGGCCUUCGGGUUGUAAACCUCUUUCAAUAGGGACGAAGCGCAAGUGACGGUACCUAUAGAAGAAGCACCGGCCAACUACGUG
rnacentral:rRNA from 1 species